GAAAGCUUGUCGUUCCUCCUCUUCGCCUGCCAUUCCUCUGUCGCCCCAAAUCCAUCGCCAACAGCUUUUACUGUCGUUCCUCCACCUAAUUUGUCGCCAACAGUCUCUUCCUGCUGUCGCUUUGGCUUAGUCAAUAGAGCUCGUCGUCCACAGCGUAGUGACGCACGCUUGGGUCUUUGUCGUCGUCGUCGCGGGUGCUUCGUACGUUGCCUUCGUUGCUACAGAUUUGUUCCAUUAAUCUAAACCUUAAUUCCUAAUCCCUAAAUGCCUAAUUUCAUAAAUUCAUAAUUCCAUUUAUAUCUAAAUUCCUAAUUCUAUAUCUUUGAUGCCCUAAUAUGAGAUAUUCUCAUUACCGUUUGCUGUUGCAUUGAAUUUGAAGGUUCGCAACUUUCCCACUGACAAGAUGGUUAGUGAAUCUGCUAUUCAAGUUUCUAUAUUUAUUUGUGCAAGGAUGGUAGUUAGUUUAGGCAAACUGGUGAUACCAUAUUUAAAGGCAAUUGUUUUCUGUGUAGAACUGUAGAAGUAAAAUUGCUUAUAGUUUUUUUUUUUUUUUGAAAAUGAAAAUAAAGAAGUGAAAAUAGCUAUUAAAGUAUACUUAGAGUUGUUUUUAAUCAUUCAAUUUAUGGUUUUACAAUUUACAAAGUAAUUUGAAACGUUUGAAUAUAUGAAAGCACAGAUCAAUGGUACUGAGGUGUUUUAAAUUUUUUGGCAGAAAUGAUCUUUGUGGAUUUAGUGAUUUACUUCCAUUAUCAUUUUAAAUCUGCUUGCUGUGUGUCCAUGCUAAAUAUUAUAAAUUGUGAAUAGGUUAUAACUCUUUACCAGUUCAUUUAUUCAUAUACUAAUUUGGUUUCAUUGUGCAUCUAUUUCUAUAAAAGUUUGCAAUAGUUAUACUGGACAUUUCAAUGGCCAUUCUUAAAAACUAAAUAUAUGAAAUGGCUUGCUCAAGGCCGUAAUGAGGCUUAUGCCUAGCCGUUGUCAGACUAUGUAGUACCAGUUCUUGUUGAAGCUUUGCAUAAGGAACCUAAUACAGAAAUAUGUGCAAACAUGUUGGAUAUGGUGAAUGAAUGCUUGUAGGUGGGUCUACAUCACAGAGAUAAUCUGGUUACUUCUUUAAUUUUCACAGGAAUGCAUUUGAUUAGAACUUUGAGAACAAUAUUUAGACUUGGUGAUUGGAAAUAUUCAUUGUAUUUUGAAGUAGAUGAUGAAUUGUUGUGUAUUUUCAAAUACUUUAUAUACUUGUAGAUGAUUAUUGUAUUAAUGAAUUGAUGCUUUUGUAUUUAUGGUUUUUGGAUAAAUUAUUAAUGAA